rnacentral:rRNA from 1 species
CCUACGGGAGGCAGCAGUGAGGAAUAUUGGACAAUGGGCGGAAGCCUGAACCAGCCAAGCAGCGUGCAGGAUGACGGCCCUACGGGUUGUAAACUGCUUUUAUACGGGAAUAACGCGCCUUACGUGUAGGGCUUUGCAUGUACCGUAUGAAUAAGGACCGGCCAAUUCCGUGCCAGCAGCCGCGGUAAUACGGAAGGUCCGGUCGUUAUCCGGAUUUAUCGGGUUUAAGGGGAGCGUAGGCCGCAUGUCAAGCGUGCUGUGAAAUGUCCGGGCUCAACCCGGGCAUUGCAGGGCGAACUGGCGUGCUUGAGUCCGCGGAAGGCAGGCGGAAUUCGUGGUGUAGCGGUGAAAUGCUUAGAUAUGACGAAGAACCCCGAUUGCGAAGGCAGCUUGCUGGAGCGGAACUGACGCUGAUGCUCGAAAGCGCGGGUAUCGAACAGGAUUAGAUACCCGGGUAGUC